rnacentral:rRNA from 3 species
UACGUAGGUGGCAAGCGUUGUCCGGAAUUAUUGGGCGUAAAGCGCGCGCAGGCGGUUUCUUAAGUCUGAUGUGAAAGCCCCCGGCUCAACCGGGGAGGGUCAUUGGAAACUGGGGAACUUGAGUGCAGAAGAGGAGAGUGGAAUUCCACGUGUAGCGGUGAAAUGCGUAGAGAUGUGGAGGAACACCAGUGGCGAAGGCGACUCUCUGGUCUGUAACUGACGCUGAGGCGCGAAAGCGUGGGGAGCGAAC